UCAGACACGGUGUAGUGGGAGCACGGCGUCUUUUCGGAAAUGUAGCGAUUGCAAGAGGCAGUCCGGGGUUCGAUUCCCUGUGUCUGAA